rnacentral:lncRNA from 1 species
AGGCCAUAAAUUUUAUCCACUUUUAGCCAUGGUUUAUAAGUGUUUUAAUAACCAAUUGCUAUAUUCUAGAGUCUAUUUAGUAUAUUUAUAGGAUCAUAAGUGAUUUGGAAGAAAGUGAUGAUUUUGGAGCAUUUUGGAGAUAAUUGGAGAGAGCAUCUGAGCUGGCCAUCGAGCAAGACCAGCGGUCGACAUUCAGAAGAAAUAAUCGAUCGAUGCACAUCCUGUGACAUCGAUCGACAGCGAAGCGCGCAGAAGCCCGUUUGGUUCCAGCCGACUUAGAGCCCAAGACUUCACCAAUUUACAAGAUUACCCCUGACGAUUUCUUAACCUAAUAUAUAUAGCUUGCCAACAUGUUAGAGGCAAAGUCUGCUUUCUUGUUUUCUUAUUUUCACAGUAAAGGUUUUCUAGGAUUUUAGUAGAGUUGGAGAGAAGAUCCAAAGAGAUUUGUGAUUGGAACUCCAUUAAUAUCUAUAUAUUUAUCUAUGCAGUUUUUAUACCUAAUUGCUUUUAUGAAUUGCUUAGCCAUGUCUGAGUAGUUCUAUUGUUAGGUUUAGGGUUUAAAUAGGUUAUGAGGAUUAGCCCCAACUAUAGAUUGCUAAGUUAUGAUAUUCAUCAUUAGGAUUGUCAUUAAUGCAUGUUUCUAGUU